rnacentral:rRNA from 1 species
GGGUUGUGAGGUUAAGUGACUAAGCGUACACGGUGGAUGCCUAGGCAGUCAGAGGCGAUGAAGGGCGUGCUAAUCUGCGAAAAGCGUCGGUAAGGUGAUAUGAACCGUUAUAACCGGCGAUACCCGAAUGGGGAAACCCAGUGUGUUUCGACACACUAUCAUGUCAUGAAUACAUAGUGGCAUGAGGCGAACCGGGGGAACUGAAACAUCUAAGUACCCCGAGGAAAAGAAAUCAACCGAGAUUCCCCCAGUAGCGGCGAGCGAACGGGGAGGAGCCCAGAACCUGAAUCGGCUUGUGUGUUAGUGGAAGCGUCUGGAAAGUCGCGCAGCAAAGGGUGAUAGCCCCGUACACUAAAAUGCACAGGUCGUGAGUUCGAUGAGUAGGGCGGGACACGUGACAUCCUGUCUGAAUAUGGGGGGACCAUCCUCCAAGGCUAAAUACUCCUGACUGACCGAUAGUGAACCAGUACCGUGAGGGAAAGGCGAAAAGAACCCCGGCGAGGGGAGUGAAAUAGAACCUGAAACCGUGUACGUACAAGCAGUGGGAGCACCUUCGUGGUGUGACUGCGUACCUUUUGUAUAAUGGGUCAGCGACUUAUAUUUUGUAGCAAGGUUAACCGUAUAGGGGAGCCGUAGGGAAACCGAGUCUUAACUGGGCGAAUAGUUGCAAGGUAUAGACCCGAAACCCGGUGAUCUAGCCAUGGGCAGGUUGAAGGUUGGGUAACACUAACUGGAGGACCGAACCGACUAAUGUUGAAAAAUUAGCGGAUGACUUGUGGCUGGGGGUGAAAGGCCAAUCAAACCGGGAGAUAGCUGGUUCUCCCCGAAAGCUAUUUAGGUAGCGCCUCGUGAACUCAUCUUCGGGGGUAGAGCACUGUUUCGGCUAGGGGGCCAUCCCGGCUUACCAAACCGAUGCAAACUCCGAAUACCGAAGAAUGUUAUCACGGGAGACACACGGCGGGUGCUAACGUCCGUCGUGAAGAGGGAAACAACCCAGACCGCCAGCUAAGGUCCCAAAGUCAUGGUUAAGUGGGAAACGAUGUGGGAAGGCAUAGACAGCCAGGAUGUUGGCUUAGAAGCAGCCAUCAUUUAAAGAAAGCGUAAUAGCUCACUGGUCGAGUCGGCCUGCGCGGAAGAUGUAACGGGGCUAAACCAUGCACCGAAGCUGCGGCAGCGACGCUUAGGCGUUGUUGGGUAGGGGAGCGUUCUGUAAGCCGUUGAAGGUGGCCUGUGAGGGUUGCUGGAGGUAUCAGAAGUGCGAAUGCUGACAUAAGUAACGAUAAAGCGGGUGAAAAGCCCGCUCGCCGGAAGACCAAGGGUUCCUGUCCAACGUUAAUCGGGGCAGGGUGAGUCGACCCCUAAGGCGAGGCUGAAAAGCGUAGUCGAUGGGAAACAGGUUAAUAUUCCUGUACUUGGUGUUACUGCGAAGGGGGGACGGAGAAGGCUAGGCUAGCCGGGCGACGGUUGUCCCGGUUUAAGCGUGUAGGGGGUGUGACCUGGUAAAUCCGGUUGCAUAUCAACCCUGAGGCGUGAUGACGAUGCACUACGGUGCAGAAGUAGUUGAUGCCCUGCUUCCAGGAAAAUCCUCUAAGCUCCAGGUAACAUUAAAUCGUACCCCAAACCGACACAGGUGGUCAGGUAGAGAAUACCAAGGCGCUUGAGAGAACUCGGGUGAAGGAACUAGGCAAAAUGGUGCCGUAACUUCGGGAGAAGGCACGCUGGCAUGUAGGUGAAGUCCCUUGCGGAUGGAGCUGAAGCCAGUCGAAGAUACCAGCUGGCUGCAACUGUUUAAUAAAAACACAGCACUGUGCAAACACGAAAGUGGACGUAUACGGUGUGACGCCUGCCCGGUGCUGGAAGGUUAAUUGAUGGGGUCAGCCGCAAGGCGAAGCUCUUGAUCGAAGCCCCAGUAAACGGCGGCCGUAACUAUAACGGUCCUAAGGUAGCGAAAUUCCUUGUCGGGUAAGUUCCGACCUGCACGAAUGGCGUAAUGAUGGCCAGGCUGUCUCCACCCGAGACUCAGUGAAAUUGAACUCGCUGUGAAGAUGCAGUGUACCCGCGGCAAGACGGAAAGACCCCGUGAACCUUUACUAUAGCUUGACACUGAACAUUGAGCCUUGAUGUGUAGGAUAGGUGGGAGGCUUUGAAGCGUGGACGCCAGUCUGCGUGGAGCCAUCCUUGAAAUACCACCCUUUAAUGUUUGAUGUUCUAACUCGGCCCCGUAAUCCGGGGUGAGGACAGUGUCUGGUGGGUAGUUUGACUGGGGCGGUCUCCUCCCAAAGAGUAACGGAGGAGCACGAAGGUUAGCUAAUCACGGUCGGACAUCGUGAGGUUAGUGCAAAGGCAUAAGCUAGCUUGACUGCGAGAGUGACGGCUCGAGCAGGUACGAAAGUAGGUCUUAGUGAUCCGGUGGUUCUGAAUGGAAGGGCCAUCGCUCAACGGAUAAAAGGUACUCCGGGGAUAACAGGCUGAUACCGCCCAAGAGUUCAUAUCGACGGCGGUGUUUGGCACCUCGAUGUCGGCUCAUCACAUCCUGGGGCUGAAGUAGGUCCCAAGGGUAUGGCUGUUCGCCAUUUAAAGUGGUACGCGAGCUGGGUUUAGAACGUCGUGAGACAGUUCGGUCCCUAUCUGCCGUGGGCGUUGGAAGAUUGAGAGGGGUUGCUCCUAGUACGAGAGGACCGGAGUGAACGCACCACUGGUGUUCGGGUUGUCAUGCCAAUGGCAUUGCCCGGUAGCUAAGUGCGGAAAAGAUAAGCGCUGAAAGCAUCUAAGCGCGAAACUUGCCUCAAGAUGAGUCUUCCCUGGGCCUUUAAGGCCCCUGAAGGAACGUUUAAGACUAAGACGUUGAUAGGCUGGGUGUGUAAGUGCAGCGAUGCAUUGAGCUAACCAGUACUAAUGAUCCGUGAGGCUUAACCUUACAACACCGAAGGUGUUU